CUCCCGCGGCGGGCCGGGUCUCCAGGGAGGACCUGAGUUUUCUUCACCCAUUGUCAGGGAGGCGCCAUCGCCCUGGCUUUGGGGCUGGGGCCUCCGGGGAGGUUCCGGUAGGGGCGUUGGAGAGGCCGCUCUUUUUGCAAGGCCCGAGACGGCGGGCCUUGCGCAGGCCGCCCUAUUCCGCGCCCUCAGGGCGUCAGUAUCAGCCUGAGGCUGGAUACCCCCGCUGGGCCCAGAUGCCCCCGCUGGGCCCGGAGCAUCCUCCGGCGCUGCCCUCCCAGAGCCACGCAGAGGCUGAGGUGGCGCGGGGGCGGCCCUGGCUCCGCGAGAAGCGGCGGCAGCGAGGGCUGGAGGACCCGGGCUGCGGGGCUCCGGGGCGUCUGGCCUGGGUGGGACUGAGCCCAUCCAGGGACUGGGACUCCGGGGUUCUGGUGUAGGUGGAUCCGGGGCAGGCUCAGGACCAAGUCCCUCUCCUUCCACCAAGGAGCGCCCAGAGGCCGGCGGGAGCUCCAGGUUCACCUCCUCCUCCUCCAGGAAAUCCCACUUCCAACUGGAUGUCUGGAUGAACUACUGAAAGCUGCUGAGUGUCCUGCAGCAGGUGAGCUGUGGCCAGAGCCCAAGGAUGAAGGGGGCUCCCUCACUCUGUGACUGUGAAGAGGAACCCUGAGGUGUAGCAGGCCCAGGCCCCAGAAGUAUGGAAAAAAUGAGGCCAUUUCCAAUCCAGCGGAAGACCUUCUAGAAGAGAUGAUGGUGGGAGAGUGCUGACAUACUAUGUGAAGCUACUAUUUGGAGUUGGACACGAGUGCAUGUGUCCUUGUGCCACAACGGGAAUGUGAGCUGGAUGACAAAUGGAGAUUUGGACUUGUGAUAAUUGGCCUCUGUGUCAUUGUGUGGAAGACUGACUGGUCCCUUUAUUUCCUGUAGCUUGACUACAACACAAAUGAAUCCACUCAAAUGUUGGCAAGUGGAGCAGAGUCCCAGAACAGGUACAGAAACACCCCCAGUUCAAGGAUCUUCACACCUGGAUUUAGGCCUACUCCUGCAACUACCCCAGCUACUUACACCAAGAUGAAGAUAAUUUAUUAGUUCAGGAAGAAUCUGCAUUCUGAAGACAAAUAGAAGUUCCAGCUACAGAUGGGCAGACACAUGCCCUCUCAAUUCCUGAUGGACCUCCUAGUGCCUUCUGGACCUAAGGGGCCUCCCUCAAUGUUCCAAGGUGCCACCAAGGCAGGGAUCAGCUCGUGCAUUCCUGAGAACAUCCCGGAUGAAGUGAGGCUCUGGAAAAAUGCAAGAGUUUCCACAUAAUCCCAAAAAACACUACAGGUGAACUGGAUGCCACAGAAAGAGGAGUGGUCUUUGUCACAACGAAAUCAACAAAAUUAUUUCGAAGUCAAUUAGGAAACUCAGAAAUCACUCUUGCUACCAUUAAGAGGAAGAACAGGAGCCUGUGAAUGGCAUCCCUGGCCUACCUGAGACUCCAAAGAUAUUUCUCUGUGGCUUCUGACAGCAGAAAUCUCUGUGAUUUUCAGAAAGGCAGGGACAGCUCCUGCCAGCCCAUCCUUCUGCAGAAUGUGUCCCAGCAGAUCAGUGGCAUGGAACCAUCAUGGACAGCACAAAGGCUCAAGGGCAGCAUCCCAGGCCGGCCUGUGACUCUAGAUAAGUUCUGAGUCCCCAUGGGGGCUCAGGAAAGGUUAGUGAUGACCUGGAAAGAAGGGACAGGCUGAAACCGCCCCUAAGCAAUCUGCAGGAUUCCAACUUCAGCAGGAAGCCAAGGACCAGCUAUUACCACACCUGCGCCCCCUGAAAACGCUGGAUACAAUCCCACUCUGCAGAAAGUUCCACAUAGAAGUGGCUGGGAAUUUUGCCUUCUAGACUGCAUUUUACACUGCCUCUGGACAUGUGAUGAGAAAUUUAACAUUGGUGUAUCUAACUCUGACAUUUUUCACGAAGUGAUUUUUUAAAAUAUGGUAAAAAAGACAAAAUAUAAUUCAAACAUAUGCAUUAUAUGUCAAAGUAUGCUUCGCUGGCAUCAAGUAGACUCACCUUGAGAUGCAAUCUUGGACAACCUCCAUCUUAAGAAUAUCUAGUUUUUCAAACCAAAACUCUCCAACCAAAAAUCAAUAACAUCAAAAGUUUGCAACUACAAGCCGACGGAAAAUAAAUACAUGAAUUCUACCACAGUGAAUUGGACUGCACUGGGAAACACAGAUGAAGAAAGCCAACACCGCUUUGUCCUUCAGUACCUGGCUCCCUUUUCAGCUCGUCUUGCGACUCCAGGCAUUAUGCCUGAAAAGUCUCCUGGACGCCUGUGAGGCUCUAAUUCCCUGGGUCCCAUUGUCAUGUCUCUGGAUUUGCGAAGAUUAACCGGACCUUCUGUGGAACUCCCGUGUCCCUCAACUUUUGUGACAUGUCCCCUAAUUCUGCCCAUGGUCAUCUGCACCUGCACGACUUAGGGUCCAUGUUCCUUGGACGGGAAGAGACAGGCAGGAGUCGGAAUGAUGAACCAGCACACUGGGGCAUUUUCUCAUGUAGCCCAAGUGACCCCAUGGUCUUCUUGAGCUUUGGAACCAGUCGCGUCCCCCUUGACACUGCACCCGACUCCCAGUUUCUCAAUCUUGUUGGCCCUCCGGCGAUCUCCCGUUGGAUGAAUUGCAUCUGCUGAAACUCGAGUCCCCUUUGAUUUGUGCUUCAUUAAUUAUUCAUGAUUCAGGUUGGAAGGCCUGCUGACGACCCCCUGUGGCCGUUUUCCGAGCUUUCCGGUCACAUCGUUUCCUUCCACCCUCUUUGGUUCCUUGUGGUCCUGCUCCUUCUGCUGUCAGAGGAGCAGAGAGUUGAUCUUAUUGAUUCUGGAUACGGAUACUUUGUAGGUGAUCUGGAUAAUCAAGAUAACGACCCUCAAAAGCGGCGGAAAGGGAGCAGCCAUUUGGUGUGUCUCAGCAAAUCCCGCUGAGUUCCGAGGCCGCCUAGGUAUGCAAUCCUGCUGAGAGUUGUUCCCAGGUCAGAGAAUGGAGAGAGCCUGUGCAUGAUGGGAUAUCCCUGCCUAGAUCUUUCAGUGAGUCUCUACCUCAGCUACUCUUAGGAUCAGGGGGAGAACCAUGGAAAGGCCCGGUGUCAGACAUCCGGAAAGAAGAGGGAUGAAUGUUUCACCUCUGAAGUACAUCCCAAAUGUGGGAGUUAACUUCAGCUUUGCUGGGGUCUACUUGGCCAGCGAAACUCUGCCUGGUUCAUUCGCACAUCCGGAAGCCACUUCACGGGGAGCCGUCGCAACCGGAACCACACACUUGGCAUCGGCGGUUGAGCCAAAUGGGGACUCGUGGUGCAAGCAACGCUCCCCACGUGUUAGCGUGCGUGAGAUUCAAUUGGCGGAAUUUUACUAGGUGCGUGUUGGUAGAGCGGGGCUGAGGUUUUCUUGCUCCUGUGGAUGUAUAGGAAGUCAAAGGUCCUGCCCAGCCCUGCGGUCCCCUCAGUCAACUCUGUUUCGGAGACAUAACGAUUUGGAUUGCUAACAAGUCAAGAAAUGUUCAAGUCCUUGGAUGUAGGGAAAAGAAAGAGAGAUCAGACUGUCACUGUGUCUAUGUCGAAAGGGAAGACAUAAGAGACUCUAUUUUGAAAAGGACCUGUACUUUAAACAAUUGCUUUGCUGAGAUGUUGUUCAUUUGUAGCUUUGCCCCAGCCACUUUGCCCCAGCCGCUUUGACCCAACUUGGAGCACACAAAAACCUAUGUUGUAUAAAAUCAAGGUUUAAGGGAUCUAGGGCUGUGCAGGACGUGCCUUGUUAACCAAAUGUUUACAAGCAGUAUACUUUGUAAAAGUCAUUGCCAUUCUCUAGUCUCAAUAAACCAGGGACACAAUGCACCGUGGAAAGCCGCAGGGACCUCUGCCCUUGAAAGCAGGGUAUUGUCCAAAGUUUCUCCCCAUGCGAUAGUCUGAAAUAUGGCCUCGUGGGAUGAGAAA
ensembl:lncRNA FAM66D family with sequence similarity 66 member D